rnacentral:rRNA from 1 species
GAUGAACGCUGGCGGCGUGCCUAAUACAUGCAAGUCGAGCGAACAGACGAGGAGCUUGCUCCUCUGACGUUAGCGGCGGACGGGUGAGUAACACGUGGAUAACCUACCUAUAAGACUGGGAUAACUUCGGGAAACCGGAGCUAAUACCGGAUAAUAUAUUGAACCGCAUGGUUCAAUAGUGAAAGACGGUUUUGCUGUCACUUAUAGAUGGAUCCGCGCCGCAUUAGCUAGUUGGUAAGGUAACGGCUUACCAAGGCAACGAUGCGUAGCCGACCUGAGAGGGUGAUCGGCCACACUGGAACUGAGACACGGUCCAGACUCCUACGGGAGGCAGCAGUAGGGAAUCUUCCGCAAUGGGCGAAAGCCUGACGGAGCAACGCCGCGUGAGUGAUGAAGGUCUUCGGAUCGUAAAACUCUGUUAUUAGGGAAGAACAAAUGUGUAAGUAACUAUGCACGUCUUGACGGUACCUAAUCAGAAAGCGACGGCUAACUACGUG